UGGGGAAUAUUGCACAAUGGGCGCAAGCCUGAUGCAGCCAUGCCGCGUGUAUGAAGAAGGCCUUCGGGUUGUAAAGUACUUUCAGCGGGGAGGAAGGGAGUAAAGUUAAUACCUUUGCUCAUUGACGUUACCCGCAGAAGAAGCACCGGCUAACUCCGUGCCAGCAGCCGCGGUAAUACGGAGGGUGCAAGCGUUAAUCGGAAUUACUGGGCGUAAAGCGCACGCAGGCGGUUUGUUAAGUCAGAUGUGAAAUCCCCGGGCUCAACCUGGGAAAUGCAUCUGAUACUGGCAAGCUUGAGUCUCGUAGAGGGGGGUAGAAUUCCAGGUGUAGCGGUGAAAUGCGUAGAGAUGUGGAGGAAUAACGGUGGCGAAGGCGGCCCCCUGGACGAAGACUGACGCUCAGGUGCGAAAGCGUGGGGAGCAAACAGG
rnacentral:rRNA from 1 species